UCUUCCAAUAUGGAAAAAAAUGUGUGUC
rnacentral:piRNA from 1 species